AUGCGACGGUUGUGAGCACAGCCAAUUGAAUUAGAAAAGAUAAGCUUGAGUAAGAGAACAUGAACCAACGCAGGGUCUGCCCAAGCAAAGCUCCCAGAGUGGUGGGCCGCGAAAAAAGCCACUCAAUCAUUGGCGUUAUUCGCCACUCUGAAGAUGUGCAAAGUCCAUGAUAGUCCACACUAAGCUAAAAGUCUACGAAUGUUCCGGAGCAAUGGUUUGAAAUCGACAC
rnacentral:lncRNA from 1 species